UACAGAGGUCUCAAGCGUUGUUCGGAUUCAUUGGGCGUAAAGGGUGUGUAGGUGGCGCCGUAAGUCGGGUGUGAAAUUUCGGAGCUUAACUCCGAACUGCAUUCGAUACUGCGGUGCUUGAGGACUGGAGAGGAGACUGGAAUUCAUGGUGUAGCAGUGAAAUGCGUAGAGAUCAAUGAGGAAGACCAGUGGCGAAGGCGGGUCUCUGGACAGUUCCAUGAC
rnacentral:rRNA from 1 species